GGAGCUCUAUCAGUCCAACUGCUGACUUAUUAAUAAUCUAUCAUGCAGUAUUGUAGUGGAGGUGAAAAUCAAUUCUGACAAAAGCAUUAAUCAAGGUAGGUGCAAGAAAUUUGAGCACUUCAAUGUGGCACAGCACCCAAACUUUUUUGGCUGGUGGUCCCUUGAACAAAUCAGUCUCUGCUUGUGACCCCUCCUCACAAGUUGUGGCUUUAGUUUGGGCAAGAGAGGUGACUUUUUCUUUUUCUAAGUCUUUCAUUUGAAGGAUUUGAAGACGUCUAAAAAGCUGCCCAAAUGAUGAAUGGAGAGCGAGUGCAGUUUGUGGUUUUGCAGCUUUUCCAAACCAAUGCAGAGUUCUUGGUGUGUGGGCGUCAGAAGUGAAGAUCCGCUUGUACCUUGGCGCUGUCCACUGAUGAUGAAAGCGAGUCAGGAGGAUGCUGGCUGCACCCAGGGGUGUCCCCACCAGGCGAUGCUGUGCUACAGCUGGACGAUGAGUCGAACUCAGUGCUGGAGUCUGGAUGCAUGUUCUCACCUAAAAUCACUGCAUAAAAAAAAAAAGACAGAAUAGUUUAUCUACUCUAAAUAGCAAACUGACAGCUGAACGCCUAUUUAUAUUCCAUUUGCCAGGUUCAUAAAUGGUAACUGUGCAGAUAGUGGAGAGGCCCGCCUUUUAUAGUGAGCUGGAAUUUUAUGAAUGAAAUCUGUGUGGUGAGACCGAACCAUUUCACAGAGAGAGAGGUGAGAGGGGGAAAAAAAAACAAGCAGAUGUUUUCCAGUUUUGUAUUUAAAUCCAUGAAAUGGUCUAGCAGCUUUAUUAAGCAGCCUUUUUAUUUUAUUUUAUUUUAUUUACUCAAAUAUCAAACAAUAGUGAGCAUGUAUAAAGGGACACCCCCGCCUACAAGAGCUGUCCAUCGCCAUGAAUGAACUACGUCAUUUCAUGUAUGCAGCAUCUGCAUCAUAUACAUUAUGUUCCCUUUAUGUCCACAUAUGUUCUCGAGACGUUCCUUAAUUGUCUUGGCGCAUUUGUGGCAACAGAGAUGUUCCUGCAGGCGAAGGCACCUGAUAGCAAUGCAGUAUAUUAAUAAACACUUUAAAACAAGGGGCCUGGAGUGUUUAGUACUUAAUGUUCCGAAUAGCCCUGAUCAGAACAAUACUGGUGUGCUAGAGGCUACAAUGUAAUAUUAUAGAAACAACUGCCCCAGCUUAUCAUUUGAAGCAAUAUUGUGAAACCCAGCAUAAUUUAAUUAAUUCACAAAGCUUCCAGCACACAGGGCUGAUUACUUAUGAGCUGCUGAGUAAAGUGUCAUCCAUACAUCACAUUGCCUUUCACCUGUCUCUGCAUACGAAUAGA